GUCAUCUCCUAUUGAAGUCAAGUUUCUUAUGGAGGAUGAUGGACUUGGGAACCAUAACGUGCUUUCAGUAGCCAUCGGUGCUUCUCAUGCCAUGUGCUUGGUUUCCAGGUCAGGUCACUGAGUGUUGAAAAAGGAUCACUCUGGUUGUAUUAUGACUCAAAAGCAAUGAAGCAGUUCUCUGCAGCUUUUAUUUGGUAAAAUUCCAGGAAUUUUUUUUUU
rnacentral:misc_RNA from 1 species